AGCGAACGCUGGCGGCAGGCCUAACACAUGCAAGUCGAACGGAUCCUUCGGGAUUAGUGGCGGACGGGUGAGUAACACGUGGGAACGUGCCCUUUGGUUCGGAACAACUCAGGGAAACUUGAGCUAAUACCGGAUGUGCCCUUCGGGGGAAAGAUUUAUCGCCAUUGGAGCGGCCCGCGUCUGAUUAGCUAGUUGGUGAGGUAAAGGCUCACCAAGGCUACGAUCAGUAGCUGGUCUGAGAGGAUGAUCAGCCACAUUGGGACUGAGACACGGCCCAAACUCCCACGGGAGGCAGCAGUGGGGAAUCUUGCGCAAUGGGCGAAAGCCUGACGCAGCCAUGCCGCGUGAAUGAUGAAGGUCUUAGGAUUGUAAAAUUCUUUCACCGGGGACGAUAAUGACGGUACCCGGAGAAGAAGCCCCGGCUAACUUCGUGCCAGCCGCCGCUGUAACAC
rnacentral:rRNA from 1 species